rnacentral:rRNA from 1 species
UACGUAGGGUGCGAGCGUUAAUCGGAAUUACUGGGCGUAAAGCGUGCGCAGGCGGCUUCGCAAGUCAGGCGUGAAAUCCCCGGGCUUAACCUGGGAAUGGCGUCUGAAACUACGGAGCUGGAGUGUGGCAGAGGGAGGUAGAAUUCCACGUGUAGCGGUGAAAUGCGUAGAUAUGUGGAGGAAUACCGAUGGCGAAGGCAGCCUCCUGGGCCAACACUGACGCUCAGGCGCGAAAGCGUGGGGAGCAAACAGG